rnacentral:rRNA from 1 species
CAGUCGCCACGGGAAUACAGAGGGUGCGAGCGUUAAUCGGAUUUACUGGGCGUAAAGCGUGCGUAGGCGGCUUCUCAAGUCGGAUGUGAAAUCCCUGAGCUUAACUUAGGAAUUGCAUUCGAUACUGGGAAGCUAGAGUAUGGGAGAGGAUGGUAGAAUUCCAGGUGUAGCGGUGAAAUGCGUAGAGAUCUGGAGGAAUACCGAUGGCGAAGGCAGCCAUCUGGCCUAAUACUGACGCUGAGGUACGAAAGCAUGGGGAGCAAACAGGAUUAGAUACCCGAGUAGUCCCUGUCUCUUAUAC